AACGCUAGCUACAGGCUUAACACAUGCAAGUCGAGGGGCAGCAUGGUCUUAGCUUGCUAAGGCCGAUGGCGACCGGCGCACGGGUGAGUAACACGUAUCCAACCUGCCGUCUACUCUUGGACAGCCUUCUGAAAGGAAGAUUAAUACAAGAUGGCAUCAUGAGUCCGCAUGUUCACAUGAUUAAAGGUAUUCCGGUAGACGAUGGGGAUGCGUUCCAUUAGAUAGUAGGCGGGGUAACGGCCCACCUAGUCUUCGGUGGAUAGGGGUUCUGAGAGGAAGGUCCCCCACAUUGGAACUGAGACACGGUCCAAACUCCUACGGGAGGCAGCAGUGAGGAAUAUUGGUCAAUGGGCGAGAGCCUGAACCAGCCAAGUAGCGUGAAGGAUGACUGCCCUAUGGGUUGUAAACUUCUUUUAUAAAGGAAUAAAGUCGGGUAUGGAUACCCGUUUGCAUGUACUUUAUGAAUAAGGAUCGGCUAACUCCGUGCCAGCAGCCGCGGUAAUACGGAGGAUCCGAGCGUUAUCCGGAUUUAUUGGGUUUAAAGGGAGCGUAGAUGGAUGUUUAAGUCAGUUGUGAAAGUUUGCGGCUCAACCGUAAAAUUGCAGUUGAUACUGGAUAUCUUGAGUGCAGUUGAGGCAGGCGGAAUUCGUGGUGUAGCGGUGAAAUGCUUAGAUAUCACGAAGAACUCCGAUUGCGAAGGCAGCCUGCUAAGCUGCAACUGACAUUGAGGCUCGAAAGUGUGGGUAUCAAACAGGAUUAGAUACCCUGGUAGUCCACACGGUAAACGAUGAAUACUCGCUGUUUGCGAUAUACUGCAAGCGGCCAAGCGAAAGCGUUAAGUAUUCCACCUGGGGAGUACGCCGGCAACGGUGAAACUCAAAGGAAUUGACGGGGGCCCGCACAAGCGGAGGAACAUGUGGUUUAAUUCGAUGAUACGCGAGGAACCUUACCCGGGCUUAAAUUGCAGAUGAAUUACGGUGAAAGCCGUAAGCCGCAAGGCAUCUGUGAAGGUGCUGCAUGGUUGUCGUCAGCUCGUGCCGUGAGGUGUCGGCUUAAGUGCCAUAACGAGCGCAACCCUUGUUGUCAGUUACUAACAGGUUCCGCUGAGGACUCUGACAAGACUGCCAUCGUAAGAUGUGAGGAAGGUGGGGAUGACGUCAAAUCAGCACGGCCCUUACGUCCGGGGCUACACACGUGUUACAAUGGGGGGUACAGAGGGCCGCUACCACGCGAGUGGAUGCCAAUCCCCAAAACCUCUCUCAGUUCGGACUGGAGUCUGCAACCCGACUCCACGAAGCUGGAUUCGCUAGUAAUCGCGCAUCAGCCACGGCGCGGUGAAUACGUUCCCGGGCCUUGUACACACCGCCCGUCAAGCCAUGGGAGCCGGGGGUACCUGAAGUGCGUAACCGCGAGGAGCGCCCUAGGGUAAAACUGGUGACUGGGGC
rnacentral:rRNA from 1 species